rnacentral:rRNA from 1 species
GACGAACGCUGGCGGCAUGCCUAAUACAUGCAAGUAGAACGCGAAAGGAGGAGCUUGCUCUUCUGGAUGAGUUGCGAACGGGUGAGUAACGCGUAGGUAAGCUGCCUGGUAGCGGGGGAUAACUAUUGGCAAGGAAAGCUAAUACCGCAUAACAGUAGAUGUUGCUGGACAUUUGCUUAAAAGGUGCAAUUGCACCACUACUAGAUGGACCUGCGUUGUAUUAGCUAGUUGUGGGGGUAACGGCUCACCAAGGCGACGAUACAUAGACGACCUGAGAGGGUGAUCGGCCAAGCUGGGACUGGGACACGGCCCAGAAUCCUACGGGAGGCAGCCGUAGGGGAUCUUCGGCAAUGGAAGGAAGGCUGAACGAGCAACGCCGCGUGAGUGCAGGAGGCUUUCGGAUCGUAAAGGUCUGUUGUAAGAGAAGGACGAGUGGGAGAGUGGAAAGUUCACACUGUGACGGUACCUUAACAGAAAGGGACGGCUAACUACGUG